rnacentral:rRNA from 1 species
GUGCAGCCGCCGUGGUAAUACCGGCAGCCCGAGUGAUGGCCGAUCUUAUUGGGCCUAAAGCGUCCGUAGCUGGCCGCGCAAGUCCAUCGGAAAAUCCACCCGCCCAACGGGUGGGCGUCCGGUGGAAACUGCGUGGCUUGGGACCGGAAGGCGCGACGGGUACGUCCGGGGUAGGAGUGAAAUCCCGUAAUCCUGGACGGACCGCCGAUGGCGAAAGCACUUCGAGAAAACGGAUCCGACAGUGAGGGACGAAAGCCAGGGUCUCCAACCGGAUUAGAAACCCUAGUAGUCC